UCCCUCUCCCACCUCACCAUCCCCCCUCCAUCCUACCCGCCUCCUUCCCUGCCCACCCGCUCCCCUGGUCAGCCAAUCGGUGAGCACAAGGAGAGAGACGGACAGAGGGGAGCAGUCCAUUCUAGCCAAUCCCCAUCCCUGAGGCCAGGGAAGGGCCUAUGAGGGACUAAAGUGGGCACCUGAUUGUGUUUCACUUCAUUGCAUUGGCUUGGAAGGAGAAGAACUGCCCGAGUCAUUUGGAGGUUGAAGGACAUCCCACCCUGUCACUCUGUAGAUGUAAAGAAUUUGUUGUGAACCUCCCGGCCACCAGGUUAAUCACCAUAUCCCAGGAUAUUAUUCAGGAGUGUGUAACAUCACAAUGUUAGAUAGAAAUAGAUUGAUCCAUGUUAUUGUUUAUCAUGCCGAUUUGUCAGGACUUUGUAACUUAUGAAGCUCAUUCUAAAAUACAGAUGUGAUUUCUGUCCCAAAGGAUUGAACUGUGUUCAAGUCUUCAAUUUAAACCACAAUUAGGUGUUAGUGAAGGGCUGGUACAAAAACCUGUAAACUCCUGUCAAAUAACAUGGCUGUCAUAACUACAUUUGCCCUCAUGUACUGAAGAAGUUUAUGAAUGUUGGAGGUUAAUCUCCUUGAGAUAUCCCUCACUUGGGAAUUAUUUUCUACAAUGGGCUGUGUUUUAAAGGACUCAUAUAUAUAUAUAUAUAUAAUAUACACACAUACAGGAAAACCAAUAAACAUUUGAACAUUUUUAUUCAAAAUGCCAAGUGUUGAUGUCUCCACGUGUUUCUGGUUCUGAGGCUGGGUCAUCUGGGGUCCAAAGGUCAUCUGGGGUCCGCAGGUCAUCUGGGGUCCGCAGGUCAUCUGGGGUCCGCAGGUCAUCUGGGGUCCGCAGGUCAUCUGGGGUCCGCAGGUCA